AGAGGCGCAACCAUCACCACGGUCGAUUUUAGGACAGUCCCACGUCCUCAGCAAGAGCCCUGCCCCUUCAGCAGUCGCUGCCCGGUUCUCCCACUCCCCUUCUCGGCUCUAAGCAAGCCCUUUCUGCUGUUCCCGAUUUCCCGAUUCUGGACAUCUCACAGGAGUGGAAUUACAGCAUCUGCGGGCUUUGGUGUCUGGCUUGUUUCUCCGAGCAGCGUGUUUUUAUCACCCAUCCUCGUCGUAUGCAGCUUCAGAAAUCCCUUCCGUUCUAUGGCCCUGGGCACAUUCCAUUGUGUGGCUGGUGACAUUGUUUAUAUGUUCGUCACCCGACGGACAGUUAGACGUUUCCUCUGUCUGGCUUCGACAAAGGAUGCUGCACGGACAUGCACAUACGAGUCUCCACGUGGACGUGGGCUUUCAGUUCUCGGGGGUGGCCGUCCAGCCGGGCUUGCUGGCUAGUGUGUGACUCUCUUGCAUUGUCUGAGCAGCUGCCGGACUGUUUCUCGAAGUGGCUGCCCCGUUUGGCGUUCCCACUGGCAGCGCCUACAGAUUCCGACCCUUCCGCAUCCUCUCCAGCUCCGCCUGCUGUCUGGCCCUUGGAUUCCAGCCCGACGAGGGGGUAUGAAGUGGUAUUUCACGGUGGUUUUGGUUUGCGUCUUCCUGGGGACGAGUGAUGUCAGUGAGGAAGCAGAGACGAAGUGGUGCCUUAGCUCACCAUGUUCCGGCUCCCCCGACUCCUCCAUGGCACUGGCAGCUUGGGGUCCUGAGCUCCUGCUCCGUGUCUUACGUCAACAAAACCUUCAGUAAAUAUCUGUGCGCUGCGUCUUCACUAAAACCUCCAUCUGUUAACACAGAAGCAUGUUCUGUACUAUCCUGCCCGCCUUCAACAGAAUCCUUAAUCCUUGCUCACAAUGGUGAUGGAGCCAUCAGCAAGAGGAGCACAAAGUCCCUUGGCUGCAGGAUGUGCUGGCUUCUCUGGGCGUGUCCUGUCCCCCCACAGCCCACCCUCCCCAGCUGGGGUUAGCGCCCAGCCCUGCCGAAGGUUCGCGCCCUGUGCUGGAGCCAGCCAGCCACUCCUUUGGGUUCUGAGCCAAUCAGACCCACCGUGGGACUCACACAUGCAAAGAAACGUGCUGGGCACACCCAGGAGGCCCGUUUCUGUGGGAACCACACUGCUUUCCCACUGUUGUCCCUGUGGGCACCCCCCCAACACCCACCACCCUGCACGCCUGGGCCACCAGCCUGAUGCGAACAAAGCUCAUGCAACUGAGUUAAAUACAGGCCAAAAAGAAGAGGUGUCCGGGGCCUGCUUUGACCUCUGCUUUGCCACCUGCCGGCCUCGGACGCUUGGUCAAGUUUCUUAACUUCCCUGGGUCUGCGUUGUUUGUUGCUUCCUCACUGACAGAGUAAGAGAGUCGUGGGGCCUGCAGUAGCUCAGGGAGGCAGCGUGAGCUCCCCUCCAGACGUGAUGGUGGCACUUACGUACUGAAGGGUCCGCGACGGAGGAGGACGGCCGCGAGGUCUCGGGCCCCGGGAGCCCUUUGCAUACCUUGUCAGAUCCCUUGCCUCAACCUGAGAGCCAGUCCUGCUUUUGUCAGCCCCUCUCACGGAUGAUUAGGAUGACGCUCUCGGAGGUUAAGUACCUUCCCCACCGCCGGCAGCCGGCCUCCAGCAUUCCCUCUCCGUCCUACUCCGAAGGUCAUUUCUAUUACUUGUGUUUUAUUUUUUAGUCAUGAGAAAACAAACAGAAGUUCAGAAGGGGCCGCGACGGGGCUGGCCCUGGAGGACGGGGAACAGGGCUGUGAUGGAGGGAUCCGCCUUCCACACCCCCGGCCGAAGGGUUUAUCUGCCCGCUGCUCCCCCGGCAGGGUGAGGGGUGCUGGGUGCCAGGGUCAGGAAGGCAAAGUGUGGGGUUCAGGGACCAAGGUCUCUCCGGGCUGCAGUUUCAGAAAUCAGAAAGGCUCCUGCCUCUGAACCGUCCGUCCCCACACGCGACGUGCCCACGUCCUUAUUCAGGCUGUUUUCAGAAAGACGUUGGACCAGGCAGCUAAGAACCCGGCUCCCAGUCUGCACUCGGUGGCGGGUUUCACUGAAGGAGCACCAUGGUCCCCGGCGGACAAGGCACAGGCAGGAAGACCUGCUCCGGAGUGUUGCUUGGUGCCUGCCUGCCCUUUGCAGCAUCUGCGGGCUUGCAGGACUUCCAAGAGCACGAGCAGCCCCCGGGGGCAGAAGGCCGCUGAUUGGUCUACCUCGUUGGCCCUGGGUCACUCACAGGAGUACCACGACUGUACAGCCGUGUGGGGCCGGCUGUUGAAUCGCCAUGGAGACCCCGAAAAAUGUCACAUCCGAGGAGACAACGCUUCCUGCCUUGCUUCAUCCACAGGGUAUUUUGAGGUGACCAAAUCAAAUGACCAUAGUGGCAGCAGAGCUUACCUGGAGGGUAUCCCUGUUUCCCGUCGGGCUUUGCCAACAUCAGCUCACGGGGGUGGGGCAUUAACCACAUGGACAUGAGUGUAGAGAAUGACUUUCUCCAGAAUCAUCAUCAUAGACCCUGUGUUCUUGCAAAAUCUUAGAGCACAAUAUUCUAUAAGGUUUAUUUAUUUUGCUAAUGUGGAUGAACCUUGUCAUCCAGCUCAUCGUAAUAGGGCCACACGGGUUGAUUAGUGGGUCAUAUCAUGACUGCUAGAACACUCUAAUUCCACAGAACAGUUGGGACUUUGAAAAUGGUGUUUUACGUGGUUCCGCUGCAGCAAAUGUAAUGUACUUCUAUGAAGUCACGCCUGCGCGUCUGAGUAGUCUGCCAACUCUGUUCUUCCUUAACAGAAUUUCUAAGGAGCGCACACAGUUUCAUGACCUUCUACCUUCAGACACAGUAAGAGACAGCUAGGCUCGUCAUCCCCAGAACUGUGACACGUACUUCCCUGUAGCUGUUCUGAGUGGUUCCUUAAAGGUCACCUGUGGUAUAAGGUUGGAGGCAGUUUGUGCCCUAAAGAAACCGAGGGCCGCUCAGCCUGACACGAGUAAACGUGUUUUCUGUAUCUUGUAGUGUCCUUUGCACUAACCCGGGGUGUGAGCCCCGGCCUACUCAGUGAUCAUUUGCACGGAUUGUCACCCAUACCCGUUUCUUCUUCUACUACUUUCCCACACUAUCAAAAUCUGAUCCAAAAUGCAAACUUCAAAGAACAUAAAUGUUUUUAGCCUCAAAGGAUUUAGAACUAUUUUCACUGUUGAGAAUCAUAAUUUUAAUAGGUUCCAAGUUUCACAACAAGUUAAUUUGUUAGAGUGACCUUGACUUUGGGGUGGGCGGUUAGAGAGGACUGACCUUUCAGAGGAUGAGCACAGUCUGGUGACUAAGUCCCUGUUUGAUGUGGAAUUUAACAGCUGCUCUUGGAAUGCC